GACGAACGCUGGCGGCGUGCCUAAUACAUGCAAGUAGGACGCAGUUGCGAACGGGUGAGUAACGCGUCGGUACCUACCGAUUAGAGGGGGAUAACUAUUGGAGACGAUAGCUAAUACCGCCUACUAGUAGGUGUACCUGCUUUGUAUUAGCGAGUAGGUAGGGUAAUGGCCUACCUAGGCAACGUUACAUAGCCGAGCUGUGGGGGUUGUCGGCCAAACUGGGACUGAGUAACGGCCCAGACUCCCACGGGAGGCAGCAGGAGGGAACGUUUGGCAAUGGGGGGAACCCUUACCGCGCAACGCCGGGUGAGAGAAGAAGGUUUUCGGAUUGGAAAGCUCUGUUGUUAAGGAAGCGGUACUUAAACAGAAAGGGACGGCUAACUACGUGCCAGCAGCCGCGGUAAUAC
rnacentral:rRNA from 1 species